rnacentral:SRP_RNA from 2 species
UUAUUUGUGCAAUAUUUAUGCAAUAAACUGGUCAGAUUCGGAAGAAAGCAGCCACAUUUGCCUCUGAAUAUGUGCACUUUUUU